rnacentral:lncRNA from 1 species
UUGAAUCAAGUUACAAGAUAUUAGACAAAGAAUUUAAAGGAAAUACAAGCUUCUUAACUUAAGCAAAUAUAGCAACUAUAAAUAAGUAAAGUAAAGAGAAGAAGCCCUCAAACUGAUUCGUAGAUGGAGGAACUCGGUUUCUUCUUCUCUUGACCCUCUUCUGAUUUUGCAUGAAGUAGAGGAUCACGCAAGGCAGCACACAGUUGAAGAGGAAGCUUUGGAAUUCACUUGGAUGCUCUUCUUCUCUCUAUUUUGCUUUGAAUGUCCCUUUUGUGCUCUUGGGAGAUUUUUCUUUGAGAUCUCUUUCCUAAGUGUUCUCUCCCUCUUCCAUAUUUUCUUCCCUUGCUCUCCCCUUGAUUUUAUAGCUUUAGAGAGUGUGGGAACACAAAUCUAGCCGUUAGAGACAAAAAUAGAGCCGUUCUGCACAUUCUGCAACUCCUGACAAUGUUUCCGUUGGGAUUGGAGUCGACUCGCGCGAUCUAGAGUCGACUCGC